GAUGAACGCUGGCGGCGUGCUUAACACAUGCAAGUCGAACGGAGUGCUCUUGAAAGAGGAUUCGUCCAAUUGAUAGAGUUACUUAGUGGCGGACGGGUGAGUAACGCGUGAGGAACCUGCCUUGGAGUGGGGAAUAACACAGUGAAAAUUGUGCUAAUACCGCAUAAGCCCACGGUGCCGCAUGGCACAGCGGGAAAAGGAUUUAUUCGCUUCAGGAUGGACUCGCGUCCAAUUAGCUAGUUGGUGAGGUAACGGCCCACCAAGGCGACGAUUGGUAGCCGGACUGAGAGGUUGAACGGCCACAUUGGGACUGAGACACGGCCCAG
rnacentral:rRNA from 1 species